CCGAGAUCCCUUUCCUUCCCCCUUCAGAUUAAGGGAUUAGCAGCUCAGGACCCGGAGAGCCCGAGCCACCCCCCGCCGUGGCUGCACGGCCCGGGUUGCAUGCAGGAGGAGUCUAUCCGCCCCGCGCUAAGGAGUUGCACCGAGGGACGUUGCAUGUCCUCAUGAAUGGGGGUGGUGUGGUUCUUGGGGUGAGGAGGGGACGAUGUAUUGCAUUAGCCCGCCCCUCCCCCACCGCAGCUGCUUCCAUUGCACCGUGCCCCACACAGCUGCUCCUUCCAGAGCGUGAUGCUGCACUGACCUCCCCAUCGGCCCAGCCCCCUCCCCAGAGCUCUGCCUAUGACACCGUUGUGCAGCUUUGAUUCCACCCCAUAGAGGGCAUCGGCGACCUAUGUCCUAGUGGAGUUCAGUCAGUGAUUCUCCACGUUUUGUUUUCCGCACCCGAACUGUGUAUCGCACCCAUCUCCCAGGAACUAAACCAGGAGCCGCCCCCCCUCUCCUUUAUGGUGCUCUCGACUCCCGCCCCCGAACACACACAGCAGUCCAAGCCCUUGAAAGUUGAGAACCUCCGGGCUGGCUACUUUCACUUGAAAUCAAGGACAAAAGUUUGCAGUUCCCACCGGAGAAGCCAGGCGAACAACUCAGCAAGUGUUCGCGCACAAAUACAGCGGCUGGUUCUGUUCCAGAGCAAGCGCUGCCGCCAAGUUAAUGGCAAUGAGUGAGGUGCUGGGGGCUAAGGCCCUGCACCCCCGCAGCAGCGCUGGACGGGCGUGGAAAUGGCUCCGGACGACGGUGGAACGCCCAUUGGGGUGACUCCUGUGCUCUUUGGGUACGUGUGCGUGUCGGGUGCAGCGUGGUUGUAGCCACUUUGGUCCCAAGAUAUUAGAGCCAAGGUGGGUCACUGUGGGGCACUGGGGCCAGCAUUGAGAGCCAGGGGAAACUCCCCCCUCCUGAGCCCUCCACCCUGCUCCCUGCAGAACAGCGCCCCCCAAAGGCAACAUCGCUUCUCUGCAGACGUAUAUAACGCCUGAUGACAGAGCCUAGCUCCCCGCACACCACAUCUAGAACGAAGCCAGCCUGAGGCUUGGUAGAGUGGUAUC
rnacentral:lncRNA from 1 species